rnacentral:rRNA from 1 species
UACAGAGGGGGCAAGCGUUGUCCGGACUUACUGGGCGUAAAGCGCACGUAGGUGGUCGUGUAAGUGGGGGUGUGAAAUCGCGCGGCUUAACCGCGCGCCGCCAUUCCAAACGGCACGACUCGAGCCACGCAGAGGGUCCUGGAAUUGCCGGUGUAGUGGUGAAAUGCGUAGAGAUCGGCAGGAACACCAAGGGGGGAAGCCAAGGACCUGGGCGUGUGCUGACACUGAGGUGCGACACGUGGGGGAGCGAACGGGA